AUCUCAUAUGUUUUUUUAUGUUUUAUUAUAAUGUCUUCGAUAUUAUUUUAUGCUACUAUUUAUAUAUGUUUUUUAUUCCACUUUUGUCUAAUCUAAUUUUUUGUAUAUUGAAUGAAACAUUUUUGUCUAAAUAUGAUGAGUUUUGAUGUUAUUUAGUCAUGUAUGAAUGACUAAAUACAAAGUUAUGUUGUUCUCUAUAGGUGUAUGUAUGGCACAAUAAA
rnacentral:lncRNA from 1 species